GCCUUCCUGGUGUAGUGGUCAGCACGCUCAGCGUGUAUUUGAAAGGUCCGUGGUUCGAGUCUCGGCGAGGGCA
rnacentral:tRNA from 1 species